GACGAACGCUGGCGGCGUGCUUAACACAUGCAAGUCGAACGGAAAGGCCCUGCUUUUGUGGGGUGCUCGAGCGGCGAACGGGUGAGUAACACGUGAGUAACCUGCCCUUGACUUUGGGAUAACUUCAGGAAACUGGGGCUAAUACCGGAUAGGAGCUCCUGCUGCAUGGUGGGGGGUGGAAAGUUUCGGCGGUUGGGGAUGGACUCGCGGCUUAUCAGCUUGUUGGUUGGGUAGUGGCUUACCAAGGCUUUGACGGGUAGCCGGCCUGAGAGGGUGACCGGCCACAUUGGGACUGAGAUACGGCCCAGACUCCUACGGGAGGCAGCAGUGGGGAAUAUUGCACAAUGGGCGGAAGCCUGAUGCAGCAACGCCGCGUGCGGGAUGACGGCCUUCGGGUUGUAAACCGCUUUCGCCUGUGACGAAGCGUGAGUGACGGUAAUGGGUAAAGAAGCACCGGCUAACUACGUG
rnacentral:rRNA from 1 species